CGUGUAGGUGGUCAGGUAAGUCAGAUGUGAAAGCCUUCUGCUUAACAGAAGAAGUGCAUUUGAAACUGCUUGGCUAGAGUACGGGAGAGGAGAGUGGAAUUCCCGGUGUAGAGGUGAAAUUCGUAGAUAUCGGGAGGAACACCAGUGGCGAAGGCGGCUCUCUGGUCCGAUACUGACGCUGAGACGCGAAAGCGUGGGGAGCAAACAGGAUUAGAUACCCUGGUAGUCCACGCCGUAAACGAUGGGCACUAGGUGUAGGAGGUAUUGACCCCUUCUGUGCCGAAGCUAACGCAUUAAGUGCCCCGCUGGGGAGUACGGCCGCAAGGCUAAA
rnacentral:rRNA from 1 species